GAUGAACGCUGGCGGCGUGCCUAAUACAUGCAAGUCGAGCGAACAGACGAGGAGCUUGCUCCUCUGACGUUAGCGGCGGACGGGUGAGUAACACGUGGAUAACCUACCUAUAAGACUGGGAUAACUUCGGGAAACCGGCGCUAAUACCGGAUAAUAUAUUGAACCGCAUGGUUCAAUAGUGAAAGACGGCUUUGCUGUCACUUAUAGCUGGAUCCGCGCCGCAUUAGCUAGUUGGUAAGGUAACGGCUUACCAAGGCGACGAUGCGUAGCCGACCUGAGAGGGUGAUCGGCCACACUGGAACUGAGACACGGUCCAGACUCCUACGGGAGGCAGCAGUAGGGAAUCUUCCGCAAUGGGCGAAAGCUUGACGGAGCAACGCCGCGUGAGUGAUGAAGGUCUUCGGAUCGUAAAACUCUGUUAUGAGGGAAGAACAAAUGUGUAAGUAACUAUGCACGUCUUGACGGUACCUAAUCAGAAAGCCACGGCUAACUACGUG
rnacentral:rRNA from 1 species